AACGAGCGCUGGCGGCAUGCCUAACACAUGCAAGUCGAACGAAGUCUUCGGACUUACUGGCGCACGGGUGAGUAACGCGUGGGAACCUGCCCUUCGGUACGGAAUAACGUCGGGAAACUGACGCUAAUACCGUAUAUGUCUCUGGAUGAAAGAUUUAUCGCCGGAGGAGGGGCCCGCUGCUGAUUAGCUCGUUGGUGAGGUAAUGGCUCACCAAGGCGACGAUCAGUAGCUGGUCUGAGAGGAUGAUCAGCCACACUGGGACUGAGACACGGCCCAGACUCCUACGUGAGGCAGCAGUGGGGAAUAUUGGACAAUGGGGGCAACCCUGAUCCAGCAAUGCCGCGUGAGUGAUGAAGGCCUUCGGGUUGUAAAGCUCUUUUGGCAGGGACGAUGAUGACGGUACCUGCAGAAUAAGCCCCGGCUAACUUCGUGCCAGCCGCCGCCGUAA
rnacentral:rRNA from 1 species